CCUACGGGAGGCAGCAGUGGGGAAUAUUGCACAAUGGGCGAGACCCUGAUGCAGCGACGUCGCGUGAACGAUGAAGGACCUCGGUAUUUUAAGCUCUAUCAGUAGGGGAGUAAAUUACGGUACCUGACUAAUAAUCCCCGUCUAACUACGUGCCAGCAGCCGCGGUAAUACGGAGGAGGCCAGCGUUAUCCGGAUUUACUGGGUGUAAAGGGAGCGUAGACGGUCUUGCAAGCCAGAUGUGAAAGCUCGGGGUUCAACCCCGGGACUGCAGUUGGAACUGUAAGGCGUGAGUGUCGGAGAGGCAGGCGGAAUUCGUGGUGUAGCGGUGAAAUGCGUAGAUAUCACGAGGAACUCCGGUGGCGAAGGCGGCCUGCUGGAC
rnacentral:rRNA from 1 species